ensembl:processed_transcript
AUGGCUCCUAGCCACAACUGUUCUCCCUUGCCUUUCUGUCUCAUUCUCUCCCUUCUGCCUCACCAGAUCCUCAUAAAACAAAUUUCCUAAACCUGCAGUGGACACAGAGGGGUCCAGGUCCAAGCCCUUGGAGGCAGCGGGCCUCCUCCACCAUGGUGAGAAUGUGAUCAGAACUGCUGGGAACCCCGUGGUCUGGCCAGGACAUAUACUGUAGCUGGUGCACAGAGCGGAAUUCCUGAGACGGGAACAGAGAGUGGAAAAAAGAAAAAAGAAAAAAACAUGUUUAUUGAUCACCUACUAUAGUUCUAAGCUUAUUCCAUUUAAAUCCACCAGAUAAGGAAGGAGACUAAGAGGAUUUGCAUAGCAUGCACAAGGCUGUGGGCUCCACCCUCAGCACCAUAGAGACAAGCAAGUCCAUUGUGUGCUAACUGAGGGUGACAGGAACGGACUGGAAUCAUGAGUUUCCAUUUACAGGAGAAGAGACAGCUCGUCCCAUGCAAGAGUCCCUUCACCUUUUAACGUUUUGGUACCUUCUGGAAUGUAACCUGGAGGGUCCUGAGAGUGAUGUCUGCAUUCAGUGUUGUCUCCUUUGUCUAAGCGCCAUGUGAGAAGGGGACAGAGGAAACAGAAGAGAAAUAGAGAUCUUAAUAACACACUUCACAUUUCUAGAAAGCAAAGGUUUGGUUUUGCUUUGGAGACAAGCCUUGCUGUAGAGCGCAGACUGGCCUCAAACCAGAGAUCCUCUUCGGGAUCCGCCUUUCAUGUGCUGGGAUGGCAGGCGUGCACUAUCUUGCCUGAUGAAAGUAAAGCAUUUUUUUAAAUAUUUAUUUAUUUACUAUAUGUAAGUACACUGUAGCUGUCUUCAGACACUCCAGAAGAGAGCAUCAGAUUUCAUUACGGGUGGUUGUGAGCCACCAUGUGGUUUCUGGGAUUUGAACUCAGGACCUUUGGAAGAGCAGUCGGCGCUCUUAACCGCUGAGUCAUCUCACCAGCCCCAGUAAAGCAUUCUUAAUUGAAAAAUCAAACACUAAAAACAUUUUUAAAACUCUUAGGCCUGCGGUGCCGUCUUGCAUUCCCAGGAUUCCUGGCUUAGCCAGUGGUUGAGACUGGAGACCUUGGUGGGCACGUCCUACAGGUCAGACUCUGGUGGACAAGCUUAGUGUGUCUGAUUCCCAUUCCUCGGGAAUUACAUUUUAUAUAAGUUUUAUAUUUAUAUUUUUAUAUUUAUGUUUUAUUAUAUUUUUGCUUCCUUUUUCAUUCUUAUUACAUGUGGGGUUUUGUUUUGUUUUUUUAACCUCAAAAGAAUUUUUUUAAAUGGUUUCACAACCAAUGAUGAUAUGUCCUUUAGGUAUUAUGCUACUGUAAAUGUAGCCAUAUAUUUUUAAUUCAAAUAAAUUUCUAUACUGAUG